rnacentral:rRNA from 1 species
CGGAGCCUACGGGGGGCAGCAGUGAGGAAUAUUGGUCAAUGGGCGGAAGCCUGAACCAGCCACGUCGCGUGAGGGAAUAAGGCCCUACGGGUCGUAAACCUCUUUUGCCGGGGAGCAAGGGCCGGGACGCGUCCCUGCCCGGAUAGUACCCGGAGAAAAAGCAUCGGCUAACUCCUUGCCAGCAGCCGCGGUAAUACGGAGGAUGCGAGCGUUAUCCGGAUUUAUUGGGUUUAA